CACUUCGUUUUUAUACGCCCGUCUAUGACGGGACGUAUUAUGGUAUACCCCGCGUCCGUCUGUCCGUCCGUCCGUCUGUCCGUCCGUAUGUCUGUUAAUGUCGUACGCUACGUCAAAUAUCCUUUGACAGAUUUUCUUCAAAUUUUAACACAAUCUUAAUAUUGAUAAACCCUGAUCCCCUUUCGUUUUUGACGGAAUUCUGAAUUGUCGUUCCAGAGUUAUGGGACUUUGUUCGUCAAAAUUUCGUGAUUUCAUUGAAUGUCCUACUGUAGCUAUAUAAAAAUGUUAAAGUUGUUAUAACUUUGGUAUGCUUGGACCUAGAGUCUUGAAACUUGACAUGAAGGUUGGCCAGAACUAGUAAGUAACCACUGGACAUUUCAAGGUCAUUCAUUUGAAGGUCAAGGUCACUGUGACCUUGAAUGUAAAAAUGUUAAAGUUCUUAUUUCAUGUUAUAACUUUGGUGUGCUUGUACCUAGAGUCUUCAAACUUGAAAUAAAGAUUGGCCAGUACUAGAAGAUGACCACUGGUCAUUUCAAUGUCAUUCAUUUGAAGGUCAAGGUCACUGUGACCUUAAAUGUUAAAAUGUUAAAAUUGUUAUAACUUUGGUAUGCUUGGACAUAGAGUCUUCAAACUUGACAUGAAGGUUUGCAAGCACACUUAGAUGACCACUGGUCAUUUCAAGGUCAUUCAUUCUAAGGUCAAGGUCACACAAGGUCACUGUGACCUUAAAUGUUAAAAUGUUAAAAUUGUUAUAACUUUGGUAUGCUUGGACAUAGAGUCUUCAAACUUGACAUGAAGGUUUGCAAGCACACUUAGAUGACCACUGGUCAUUUCAAGGUCAUUCAUUCUAAGGUCAAGGUCACUGUGACCUUAAAUGUUAUUGUUGUUCAUGUAUCCUACCGUAGCUCAAAUAUCCCCCGAUGGAUUUUUUAUACGCCCGUCUAUGACGGGACGUAUUAUGGUAUACCCCGCGUCCGUCUGUCCGUCCGUCCGUCCGUCCGUCCGUCUGUUAAUGUCGUACGCUACGUCAAAUAUCCUUUGACAGAUUUUCUUCAAAUUUUAACACAAUCUUAAUAUUGAUAAACCCUGAUCCCCUUUCGUUUUUGACGGAAUUCUGAAUUGUCGUUCCAGAGUUAUGGGACUUUGUUCGUCAAAAUUUCGUGAUUUCAUUGAAUGUCCUACUGUAGCUCAAAUAUCCUUCGAUGGAUUUUUUUCAAAUUUCAACACAAUCUUAAUAUUGAUAAACCCUGAUCCCCUUUCGUUUUUGACGGAAUUCUGAAUUGUCGUUCCAGAGUUAUGGGACUUUGUUCGUCAAAAUUUCGUGAUUUCCAUGCUCAUGUACUUAUAAAAUAAACCAUGUAUUCAAAUACAAAUAAACUGAAGUAAAAAAAUGA